rnacentral:lncRNA from 1 species
GAGGUUGGACUAGGUGAUCUUGGAGGUCUCUUCCAACCUAGACGAUUCUGUGAUUCUGUGAUAUAUAUACAUAUUACAUAUAUAUACAUAUAUAAUUAUAUAUAUAAUUAUAUACAUAUAUAUAUUUAAAUAUACUUAAAUUUUGCUGUAAAUAGUUAUUUAUAUUAAGUUUAGAACUACUUUCCAUAUAACCUCUGACUUUGAAAAGCUGAUAGUUAUUGUAUCUCUAGGAAUUUUAAUGGAUUUUUUUCAAAUCUAUUAUCAUAAGCAGUGGAUCUCUAACAUUGGUUUGAUCUGCUCUGGUGGACAUAAUAAAAUCCUACUCAGAUAAGCUAGAUUUGUGAGAAAUGUGGAAUCCUUCAUAUGUUUAAAUUCAGUAGUGGUUUGCUGUUUUAUCUAAACCUGUCUUAGCUCUUAAUAAAUUAUUGUAGCUUUCUAACAGAAUUCUGAGUAGUGAUAGGAUGUUGUAGUAAUCAAUUUUUCCUUCAUUGUCUCCCUGAUUUAAAGAACUUGGAAAGAUGUCUGCAUUCUGCACUGUGAAAGCUGAGUCCGCAGUGUUUAAAGGAAAAUACUUGCAGACAGCAAGUAAGCAUGAUCAAAUGACCACAUCCUCUUUGAAACCUAGUUUCAACUAUAUUUGUCCUGCCCAGAUGCUUUCCUCCUGUCACCUCUGGAUCCUCAUAAGCGUCUGUACUGAGGACAGAAGAGGAUCGAGCACUAAAGAAAGGUUUAGAAAUUUCCAUGAUCUUGAGGUUUGUGCUACAGCAUGUUUGCACAGCUGUUUGCUACUAAAUCAGUCAAUUCAGUUCCCCAUACUGCCAUUUUGAAGUCAUAAUUCUGGAACCCUGUCCUGACUCCUACCCUGGUUUUCCGUGUUGCCACAAGGCAACAGUUCUACUAAUUCAGACCAGAUGUCUGCCUAGUCCAGUCUCGUGUUGCUAACAUUAAUCAAUAACAAAUUCUGGGGAAGAGAUUAGGGGAAAGCAUAUACUGAAACCUGUAGUUACUCCCUCCAGAACAUUCUCCCAGCCACCACUGAUUGUGGCUGAAGGACUUUUCUGAACCCACAUAAGCUUGUGCAAUUAAUUACUUCCAUGAAUACUUGCAGACUGGUUUUGAAUCUGUGUAAAUGUUUAGCAUUGACAGUGAUCUGUGGUAAGGUGUUCCAUUGCUUAACCAGGCUUUAUAUGAACACAUUGUUACCAUGCGUUAUGUGAAGUACAUUGUUUUGUGUAUUUUGGAGUUGCAUUCUCUACAUUUUACUUUCAGCACUGUGGUAGUUCUGUUAUUUUUAAACAAGAGCAUUGUGCACCUGAGUUGCAGGCUGACCUGAUGUUUCAGGUGCUAUCUUGCUUCUAAUAGCUGUGUCACCAAGAACUAAUAAGUAAUAGAUACAGUCUGUAUGUACAUUUGGUGUCAAGCUUUAUUCUCUCUCCUUCGCUGUAUUGGGGCUGGGGACUUUUGUCUCUGGAGAGAAACUGAGGUUCCUCUUGCAUAUUCAGCUCUUUUUAUUUUCUGCAUGAAGAAAGCUAAAAUGUGAGUGUACUGUACAAGUACUGUAAAAAAAAAAAAGUCCCCCUUUUAAGUACAUGAAAAAUAAACACUGGCAAUGCUAAUGUGGGUGCA